rnacentral:rRNA from 1 species
UGGGGAAUAUUGCACAAUGGGGGAAACCCUGAUGCAGCAACGCCGCGUGAAGGAAGACGGUUUUCGGAUUGUAAACUUCUGUUCUUAGUGAAGAAUAAUGACGGUAGCUAAGGAGCAAGCCACGGCUAACUACGUGCCAGCAGCCGCGGUAAUACGUAGGUGGCAAGCGUUGUCCGGAAUUACUGGGUGUAAAGGGAGCGCAGGCGGGAGACCAAGUCAGCUGUGAAAACUACGGGCUUAACCUGUAGACUGCAGUUGAAACUGGUUUUCUUGAGUGAAGUAGAGGUUGGCGGAAUUCCGAGUGUAGCGGUGAAAUGCGUAGAUAUUCGGAGGAACACCGGUGGCGAAGGCGGCCAACUGGGCUUUAACUGACGCUGAGGCUCGAAAAAUGUGGGGAGCAAACAGGAUUAGAUACC